GACAUCUCGGGAAUCUUGUGGAAACACGAGAGUGCCCUUCGGGAGCCCGAAGACAGGUGCUGCAUGGCUGUCGUCAGCUCGUGUCGUGAGAUGUUGGGUUAAGUCCCGCAACGAGCGCAACCCCCUAUCUCUAGUUGCCAGCGAUUCGGUCGGGGACUCUAGAGAUACUGCCCCGGUUAACGGGGAGGAAGGUGGGGAUGACGUCAAGUCCUCAUGGCCCUUAUGCCCAGGGCUACACACGUGCUACAAUGGGCGGUACAAAGGGUAGCGAUGCCGCGAGGUGAAGCCAAUCCCAAAAAGCCGUCCACAGUUCGGAUUGGAGUCUGCAACUCGACUCCAUGAAGCCGGAAUCGCUAGUAAUCGUGGAUCAGCAUGCCACGGUGAAUACGUUCCCGGGCCUU
rnacentral:rRNA from 1 species